rnacentral:rRNA from 1 species
GGGGAGCAGCCCAGAGCCUGAAUCAGUGUGUGUGUUAGUGGAAGCGUCUGGAAAGGCGCGCGAUACAGGGUGACAGCCCCGUACACAAAAAUGCACAUGCUGUGAGCUCGAUGAGUAGGGCGGGACACGUGGUAUCCUGUCUGAAUAUGGGGGGACCAUCCUCCAAGGCUAAAUACUCCUGACUGACCGAUAGUGAACCAGUACCGUGAGGGAAAGGCGAAAAGAACCCCGGCGAGGGGAGUGAAAAAGAACCUGAAACCGUGUACGUACAAGCAGUGGGAGCACGCUUAGGCGUGUGACUGCGUACCUUUUGUAUAAUGGGUCAGCGACUUAUAUUCUGUAGCAAGGUUAACCGAAUAGGGGAGCCGAAGGGAAACCGAGUCUUAACUGGGCGUUAAGUUGCAGGGUAUAGACCCGAAACCCGGUGAUCUAGCCAUGGGCAGGUUGAAGGUUGGGUAACACUAACUGGAGGACCGAACCGACUAAUGUUGAAAAAUUAGCGGAUGACUUGUGGCUGGGGGUGAAAGGCCAAUCAAACCGGGAGAUAGCUGGUUCUCCCCGAAAGCUAUUUAGGUAGCGCCUCGUGAAUUCAUCUCCGGGGGUAGAGCACUGUUUCGGCAAGGGGGUCAUCCCGACUUACCAACCCGAUGCAAACUGCGAAUACCGGAGAAUGUUAUCACGGGAGACACACGGCGGGUGCUAACGUCCGUCGUGAAGAGGGAAACAACCCAGACCGCCAGCUAAGGUCCCAAAGUCAUGGUUAAGUGGGAAACGAUGUGGGAAGGCCCAGACAGCCAGGAUGUUGGCUUAGAAGCAGCCAUCAUUUAAAGAAAGCGUAAUAGCUCACUGGUCGAGUCGGCCUGCGCGGAAGAUGUAACGGGGCUAAACCAUGCACCGAAGCUGCGGCAGCGACACUAUGUGUUGUUGGGUAGGGGAGCGUUCUGUAAGCCUGUGAAGGUGUACUGUGAGGUAUGCUGGAGGUAUCAGAAGUGCGAAUGCUGACAUAAGUAACGAUAAAGCGGGUGAAAAGCCCGCUCGCCGGAAGACCAAGGGUUCCUGUCCAACGUUAAUCGGGGCAGGGUGAGUCGACCCCUAAGGCGAGGCCGAAAGGCGUAGUCGAUGGGAAACAGGUUAAUAUUCCUGUACUUGGUGUUACUGCGAAGGGGGGACGGAGAAGGCUAUGUUGGCCGGGCGACGGUUGUCCCGGUUUAAGCGUGUAGGCUGGUUUUCCAGGCAAAUCCGGAAAAUCAAGGCUGAGGCGUGAUGACGAGGCACUACGGUGCUGAAGCAACAAAUGCCCUGCUUCCAGGAAAAGCCUCUAAGCAUCAGGUAACAUCAAAUCGUACCCCAAACCGACACAGGUGGUCAGGUAGAGAAUACCAAGGCGCUUGAGAGAACUCGGGUGAAGGAACUAGGCAAAAUGGUGCCGUAACUUCGGGAGAAGGCACGCUGAUAUGUAGGUGAAGUCCCUCGCGGAUGGAGCUGAAAUCAGUCGAAGAUACCAGCUGGCUGCAACUGUUUAUUAAAAACACAGCACUGUGCAAACACGAAAGUGGACGUAUACGGUGUGACGCCUGCCCGGUGCCGGAAGGUUAAUUGAUGGGGUCAGCGCAAGCGAAGCUCUUGAUCGAAGCCCCGGUAAACGGCGGCCGUAACUAUAACGGUCCUAAGGUAGCGAAAUUCCUUGUCGGGUAAGUUCCGACCUGCACGAAUGGCGUAAUGAUGGCCAGGCUGUCUCCACCCGAGACUCAGUGAAAUUGAACUCGCUGUGAAGAUGCAGUGUACCCGCGGCAAGACGGAAAGACCCCGUGAACCUUUACUAUAGCUUGACACUGAACAUUGAGCCUUGAUGUGUAGGAUAGGUGGGAGGCUUUGAAGUGUGG